AGAAACUUACUAAANAAGAGACUNCCAAACUCCUAGUUUCUG
rnacentral:tRNA from 1 species